rnacentral:lncRNA from 10 species
ACAGCAAGAGAGAACUGUAGGUUGUUCAAGUGUCUGCACAUCUGAUUGAUCCAGAUUGAAUGUACAAUAUACUGGAACACAUAUGAGAGCCUACUGGUGACAUAUGUUCAUUCAUUCAUCCAUGUGGAGUUGACAUCGCUUUGCCAUAGACAAUGAAUUUGAAGAGACACCUGUGUACAUGUGCACCAGCUGCCCAGGUUGAGGACUGCUCCUGCCUGCUCUGGACCUGCUCCUCCCUUUGGCUGGCUUUCCAAUUAGUGUAGACAUGUUCUCCCAUAUCCUAGCCUCUCUUUGGGCCACAUUUGAGGAUACCACCAACCAACCCUUGGAUCAAAUGCUUGGCUCUUGGGCUCAGACCCUGUAGGGAUAUAGCUUUAUUUGCAAAGUAGGCUGAAAGACUCCCUCUCUUGACAAGGAAAGCUGAUUGGCAGUAUGAAGAGUACACUGCAGAAGUUUUGAGGAGGACAAGCACUUACGAUGGCUUUACAGGGAUGGCUGCCCAAGUGAGAUAGAAUUUAAGAUGACAAAAUGAAGGCACAGAGAAAUGAUAUAGCUUGCUCAAGGUCAUACAGAAGUGGUCGAUCUGGGAUUUGAACCCAUGUCAUCUGAUGGCAGAGCCUUCACAAGCCUGGCAUGUAUUGCUUGCUAGUGAUUCCAUAUCUACCUGUCUGUAAUUUCUGUCUAAUUCCAUUUUCUGUAGGAAUUCAAAUCA